rnacentral:ncRNA from 15 species
GGGUGUGCGUCGCGCUCCUGGCACGCACAGGUUCCUCGGUGGUCGGGCCGCCACCU